AGGGAAACUCAAAGGAAUUGACGGGGACCCGAACAAGUAGCGGAGCAUGUGGUUUAAUUCGAAGCAACGCGAAGAACCUUACCUAAGCUGGACAUCCCAAUGACGUCGCCUUAAUUGGAGGGGUACCGUCGGGGAGAUUGGUGAUAGCUGGUGCAUGGUUGGCGUCAGCUCGUGUCGUGGGAUGUGGGGUUAAGUCCCGCAACGAGCGCAACCCUUGUCUUUAUUUGCCAUCAUUAAGUUGGGCACUCGAGAGAGACUGCCAGGGAUAACCUGGAGGAAGGUGGGGAUGACGUCAAAUCAUCAUGCC
rnacentral:rRNA from 1 species